rnacentral:rRNA from 1 species
AACGAACGCUGGCGGCAUGCCUAACACAUGCAAGUCGAACGAGACCUUCGGGUCUAGUGGCGCACGGGUGCGUAACGCGUGGGAACCUGCCCUUAGGUUCGGAAUAACUCCCCGAAAGGUGUGCUAAUACCGGAUAAUGUCUUCGGACCAAAGAUUUAUCGCCUUUGGAUGGGCCCGCGUUGGAUUAGCUAGUUGGUAGGGUAAAAGCCUACCAAGGCGACGAUCCAUAGCUGGUCUGAGAGGAUGAUCAGCCACACUGGGACUGCGACACGGCCCAGACUCCUACGGGAGGCAGCAGUGGGGAAUAUUAGACAAUGGGCGAAAGCCUGAUCCAGCAAUGCCGCGUGAGUGAUGAAGGCCUUAGUGUUGUAAAGCUCUUUUACCCGGGAUGAUAAUGACAGUACCGGGAGAAUAAGCUCCGGCUAACUCCGUG